rnacentral:misc_RNA from 1 species
GAGAAUUGGGAAUUAGGAUUAAAGCCCUAGUACCGAAGACAGUAAGUUCUUGAGUUCACUGCUCUCAUCGCCGGUCGCUGGUCGCCUGUUGCCGUUAACUCUACUCACGGCUACUACGAAAUCAUGUCUCCAUCAUUGUGGCAGGGAUUCAUGGUUAAAAAUGGUAGAUUUGGUUCUGUGAUGGAUAAGGAGUUGCUGACUCUGGUUUUUCUUUGUGCAAUGCUUUGGACUUGGCUACAGUUUGCCAAACUUUUUACUGAAAAUGUCAAACUGGGUUGAACCAUGCUAAUCAGCAAUUUGGGUUAUUCUUUGCCUGUUAAUGAUGCGAGUAUACCUAUUAAAGAAAAGCUGAAAUGGCCAGUUGAUGCUUUGCUUUAUUUUGUUGGGGUAAGCAUGACUGCAUGAGCUUUAUUGGUGAUUUCACCUUUCAAAAUAAACCCCAAAAGACAAAUUUUGAUACAUUGAACAUGCUUGUAACAAAACUAAAAUUAUUUCUCGCUAGAUAUUUUUCCUGAUAAUUUCUCGCUUGCUCACCAUAUAAACCAACUUAAUUGGAAUUUCAAAUAAACGAAAUAUUGAACCCUUUUUGGCUAUUCCCUGGAAAAAAAUAAUUUCCCACCCCUCUUUUGGCUCAUUUCUCUCCCUUUUCACCCUCUCUCUGUCGGAGUUCACCAAGUUCAGUGCGGCCAACCAAAUACCGGCAGAUUAUUGUUGAUUUUAAGCAAAGAUAAUGUUCAUUCAACCUCAGCAUCUUCCCUGGUUUUGUAGUACUCAUUUUGUCCGAGAAAUAAACCCGUAUAGCAGCAAAAUCACCAUUUCUUGAUUCCCCUUCAAAAUUGUCUGAUUAUUGGUGAUCUUUAAACUAAUCUAGGCUCUAGAAUGUUUGUCUAAAUUGUUUUGUUGUAUGAGCUUGAUAUAUAUGGGGUGUGUAUUUCAGAUUUUGAUUGAAACUUUCUGCCAUGUUUUUUGGGGACAAUGUGUGUGAAACA